AUAGUAAUAAUCUUCGUUACAGAGACAUGCUUGUUGAUCUUUUGGGUUCCUUUGAAGGAUUGAAUUUCAAUGAAAAUUCUUCAUCUUCUUGUUCUUCCCCUGUUUCAAAGAUACAGAACAACAACAUGGGUUGGCUUGAUCUUCCUCUUAACUCUGAAGAACAACAAUAUCAACAAUUUAUUGUUUCACCUUCUUCUUCUUCUUCUUUUGAUCAGCAACAACAAAAUUUUGAUAUUCAUCAGAAUUUGAUGACACCAAGCUUCAAUGAUAUUGGUGACAAUAACAUAAU
rnacentral:lncRNA from 1 species